CUCCUCUAGCACAUGCCAAGAGCCGCCCCUGCAUAGGAUCAGGAGCAGGAGUAGGAGUUCUUCACCAAGGAGGGAACGGAGGAGGAGCGAAGAUGACAGAAGAGGAAAGAGGAGAGGAGAUGUGAAGGAGAAGAAGAAGAUUGAUUACUCGCGCUUAAUCAAAGGCUACGAUGAUAUGUCAGCUGCUGAAAAAAUGAAGGCCUGGAUGAAGCUUCAGCUUCAUGAAACUAGUAAGUUACUCGGUCCCAUUAUACCAGUAAGGGUGAAGGAUGGGAACAAUUGAGUUCGACAAAGAUGUUCCACUUGAUGAUGAGGAAGUAGAAGAAGGGCAAAAGGUGUUUGGAGAAAUGACUCUUUGAUGUUUCGAUGAGAUGGUUGCUAGAGGGAUCCCUCCUGAUCUGUUCGUUUAUAACUCUUUGAUUUGAUGGACUGUGCAAAGAAGGAAUGUGGGAGGAUGUUGGAGAGAUGGUGAAUGAGAUGGUGAGGAGAGGGAUAUCGCCGGAUGUUUGCACUUACAACACUUUGAUUAGUCGUAUUUGUAAAGAUAAGGAGCUGAGUGAAGCGAUGGAUGUGUAUGGCUCUAUGAUUAAUAAAGGUCCGGAGCCUAACUUACAAACGUAAACUCGCUGUUGGAUGGUCUGUUCACAGGGAGUAGGCUUUACAUACGUAGCUGGUUGAUGUGUGGCCAAGCUAUGUAAGUGUGUCUCGUUUUGUUUCUUUAUAAGUUGAAAAAAAUUUGUUACUCUUACCAUUUUGUU